rnacentral:misc_RNA from 1 species
GAAUUCAGUGAAUCAUCCAGAAUCCUUUGAACGCACAUUGCGCCCCCUGGUAUUCCGGGGGGCAUGCCUGUUCGAGCGUCAUUUCACCACUCAAGCCUCGCUUGGUAUUGGGCAACGCGGUCCGCCGCGUGCCUCAAAUCGACCGGCUGGGUCUUCUGUCCCCUAAGCGUUGUGGAAACUAUUCGCUAAAGGGUGUUCGGGAGGCUACGCCGUAAAACAACCCCAUUUCUAAGGUUGACCUCGGAUCAGGUAGGGAUACCCGCUGAACUUAAGCAUAUCAAUAAGCGGAGGAA